GUCCACGCCGUAAACGAUGAUAACUAGCUGUCCGGACACUUGGUGUUUGGGUGGCGCAGCUAACGCAUUAAGUUAUCCGCCUGUGGAGUACGGUCGCAAGAUUAAAACUCAAAGGAAUUGACGGGGGCCUGCACAAGCGGUGGAGCAUGUGGUUUAAUUCGAAGCAACGCGCAGAACCUUACCAGCGUUUGACAUCCCGCGCUACAACCAGAGAUGGUUGGUUCCCUUCGGGGACGCGGUGACAGGUGCUGCAUGGCUGUCGU
rnacentral:rRNA from 1 species